GACAGAGGUGCCAAGCGUUAGGCGGAAUCACUGGGCUUAAAGCGUGUGUAGGCGGAUCGUUAAGUACCUUGUGAAAUCCCACGGCUCAACCGUGGAACUGCUGGGUAUACUGGCGAUCUUGAGCCACCUAGGGGCGAGCGGAACAAACGGUGGAGCGGUGAAAUGCGUAGAUAUCGAGAGGAACACCGGUGGCGAAGGCGGCGAUCUGGACGAUGACUGACGCUGAGACGCGAAAGCGUGGGGAGCAAACAGG
rnacentral:rRNA from 1 species